UCAAGGCCAGUUGGUGGUUCGGGAUUUCUGUCUACGCAGAAAAAGUGUCUCGGUCUCAGUGUGUACGCAUAGUAGACUAAUUUUCUGCUGGUAAUUAUCGCACAAAGGUUAUUGGCGGUAUUUAUUGCAUCAUUCUCUGCUAGACUGCGCUGAUUUUUUGUGAUUGGUUGUCUUCGUUGUUUUCGCGGAUGAUUGUGUGGGAUUGAAAUCGAAGAGUCAUAGAAUUUGGAAUCAAUUAUAAAAUCAUCUGUGCGACCAUCAAAAUAUGAAAAAUUGUGAUUCUACUAUUGAAAAAUGUAGGGCCUAGUUGAACGCAUAUUUCACACACACCGGAAGUUUAGCUCUUAAUAGUUACGUACAAAAGCUAGCAUGCAGAAAUUUAUUCAUAAUUGUUUAUCCGAUGACUGUAGCAAAAGAAUGAUUCACUGGAAACUGGAGCGACCAGCAACAAGCAGGGCUGCAGCAAGUCGCAGCGCAUCAGACGGCGAUUUCAAAUACAGCCGGAAGUAAUCUCAUAUCUAUAUAUAGUUUUCUCCCAGCUGGUCUCGGGGUACGAUGCUGGCCUAACAAGCCAGUCGUCGUAGGUUCGAGUCUCGGCUCGGGAGAGACUGUUAGUGUCAGUAGGAUCAUAGCACUAGCCCUGAAAUCGUCCUGGACACUUAACAGUUGGCUGCGAAG